CAUAGGCAGUCUCCUGGUGCUCCACUUCUCUUCUCAGUCUGUUGUAAUCUUCUUUAACACUUCCCAGCUUUUUGACAUUCCUGGAACUCAACACCAACAGCUUGCUGAGGAGUCCCUCCAGCCCUUCUCUCUCUGAUGUUAAUGAUCUAAUCUCCUCGGUGAGGUCUUUAGCCGUCCAGAAAUGGUUUCCUACAGCACGUUGUGGGAGAGAAGAAGGGAAAACAAGCUUUACAGCAUCCACACACAUGGAAGAUCUAGCAGCAGCUAAUGUACAUUCACAGCAUGGGCAAAGAAACUGCACUUUGAGAUUAUGUACAAUUUCCUUAGCAGUCCUCUGGGGAAAGAACCUGGAAAAAUAUUGCUCUCCUUAAACUGGAAAAAUCACCGUCUUUUUUAUCACCUUAUUCUUGUUAUGUCCAUUUUAGGAGUUCCAUUGGUGAAGCCAUCUCCCGUAAAGUAUGAUGACCCAAAAAUGUCCCAGUGGAAUCCAGAGAAACCACAAUGUGUCACUCCAUUCCAAUAAUAUACAAAUGUCAAAGAGAUGACAUAUUAUAGCAGUGUGGAAGGGGACUGGGCCAUAUAAUCAGAGUUGACCUAAAUUAAAUUCCUCCCCUGUUACUCAAACUGUGUGACCUGGAGCAAGAAAAUUAGCACAUCUGGGGCAAAUUUCUUAUAAAAUAUAAUUGCAAUAACACCUGACUCAUAGGUAGUUACAAGAAUAAACAAGAAAUUCUGUAAAGCACUGAGAAAAAUAUAUGAUAAAUUAAAUGUAGCAAGAUUGCAGGAUACAAGGUCAAUGUACAAACAUCAAUCUUAUGUCUAAAUAACAAAAAACUAGAAGAUGAUUUUUUAAAAAAUACAAUUUACAAAAUAUUUUAAAUCUCAUAAUACUGAGGGAUACUUUCUUUAAAUAUGUGCAAGAGCUCUACAGUGAAAACUAUUUUUCAAAAACUGCUGAGACAAAUUAAAGACAAAUAAUUUAAAAGAUACACUGUAUACAUACACUGGAAGUUCAAUAUUGGUAAGAUUUCAAUUUUCCCCACAUUGAUUCAUUGAUUUAAUAUAAUUCCAAUCAAAAUGUUAUGAGGUUCUUUUGUAGAAAUUUAUGUGCUUAUUCUAAAACGUCUAAGAGUGAGCUGGGCAUGGUGGCUCACACCUGUAAUCCCAGCAUUUUGGGAGGCCGAGGUGGUGGGUCCCUUGAGGUCAGGUGUUCAAGACCAGCCUGGCCAACAUGGCGAAACCCUAUCUCUACUAAAAAUAUAAAAAUUAAUCUGGCACAGUGGUAAGCACCUGUAAUCCCAGCUACUCAAGAGGCUGAGGCAGGAGAAUCACUUAAACCCAGGAGGUGUAGGUUGCAGCGAGCUGAGAUCCUGCCACUGCACUCCAGCUUGAGCAACAGAGUGAGACUUCAUAUCUAAACAAAUAAAAUCUAGAAGAAUGAGCCCAUGAGUUUGAGGCUGUAGUGCACUAUGAUUGCACUUUUGAACAGGCACUACACUCUUGUCUGGGCAACAUAGCAAGUCCCCACCUCAAAGAAGGAGAGGGAGAAAGAAGAAGAAGGAGGAGGAGGAGGUGAAAGAGGGAGGGAGGGAAGGAAGGAGAAGACGAAGAAGAAUGAAGAAGAAUAGGAAGAAAGAAGAAGAAGGAAGAGGAGGAGGAGGAUGACCAAAGCAAUCCUUAAAAAGUGAGUCUUGGUUUCAAGACUAAUGCUAAAGCCACUAUAAAUCAAGGUAAUAUGGCAUUGAAUAUACAUAGACAAACAGAUCGAUGGAAUAGAAUAAACAGUCCAGGAGUGGAUUAACACAUAUACAGCCAACCAAAGUGCCAAAGCAAGUCAAUGAGGAAAAGAAAGUAUUUUCAAUAAAUGGUGCUGGAACAACUAGCUAUCUACAUGGAAAAAAUAUUAACCUUGAUUCAUACCUCAAACCACACAAAAAUUUAAUUAAAGGUGGAUCACAGGCCUACAUGUAAAAGUUAAAACUAUAAAGCUUCUACAAAAAAAAAAUGAAUAUUUGAUUGACUUUGGAGUAGGCAAGAACUUCAGAUAAGAUACAGAAAACACUAUUUUAAAAAGGAUAAAUGGGCUUUAUCAAAAUUAAAAACUUCUCAUCAAAAGACACAACUAAAAAAUGAGACGACAAGUCACAGACUUGGAGAAAAUCAUUGCAUUAUGUUUAACUGACAAGGAAUUGAAUACUACAACUUGACAAUUAAAACACAAAUGGUGCCAUUGAAAAAUGGUCAAAUGACUUAACAGGCAUUUUACAAAGUAGACGCACAAAUGGCUAAUAAGCAUAUGAAAAAACAUUUGACAUCAUUAAUCAUUAAGAAAAGAAAAAUUAAAACCAUAAAUAUUCCACUACAAGCCCACUCAAAUGUUUCAAAUUAACUCAACUAAAAAUGUCAACAUUCACAAGGGUAUGGAGCAACUGGAACUCUCACGCAUGUAAAAUGGUCCCUUCAAGAAAAGUUCUGCCAGUUUCUCAUAAAGUUCAAUGUAUACCUACCCUUUAAUCCAACAAUUCUACUUCCAGGCAUUUACACAAAAGAAAUGAAAACAUGUCAUCAAAAAUAUUUGCACUCAAAUAAAUGGUCACAGUGUCUUAUGCCUGAGAGCCAGCCCCAUACUGGAAGCAACCUAAAUAUCCAUCAGCAGGAAGAUGCAAAAAUAAUACUAUAGCUAUGCAAUGAAAGACUACUCAGCAAUAAAAAGAAACAAACUCGUCAUACAUGCAGCAACAUGUAUGUGUCUUUUUCUUUCUUUCUUUUUUUUUUUUUUGAGACAGAGUUUUGUUCUUGUUGCCCAGGCUGGAGUGCAGUGGUACGAUCUCAGCUCACUGCAACCUCCACCUUCCAGUUUGAAACUAUUCUCCUGCCUCAGCCUCCCAAGUAGCUAGGAUUACAAGUGCCCACCACCACGCCCAGUUAAUUUUUGUAUUUUUUAGUAGAGCCGGGGUUUCACCAUGUUGGCCAGACUGUUCUCAAACUCCUGACCUCGUGAUCCACCCACCUCAGCCUUCCAAAGUGCUGGGAUUACAGGCGUGAGCCACCGCGCCCAGCCAACAUGUACAUGUCUUUAGAAAAGAUGCAAAAGAGUAGUGCCACAUGAUUCCAUUAAGUUCUAGAACAGCCAAAAUUAAUCCAUGGUAGAAGAUAUCAGAACAGAGGAGGGACGAUGAUGACUGGGACAAGAUAGGGUGUUGUUUCUUGAGUGAUGAGACUGUUCUAUCUCUUGGUAGGGCUGUUCGUAACACAGGUGUCAAAAUUCAAGAACUGUAAACACUUAAGACCUGUGCAUUCCACUGAAUAUAAACCAUACCUCAAUUAAAAAGAGGAAAAAUUAAGAAAUUUUUAAGCAUGAACAUUGAACAAUAAAUAAAUAUAUAACAUUAAUGAGUGUCCCAUAAAUUAGUUAGUGUUAAUUAGAAAACCCCACUGUGUUUUCUCAGAAUUUAUAGUAACCAUAAUCACAAUAAUAGCUACAAACUUUCUCACCUUUAAAUGUCAUCACAACUUUAGGAAACAGGUUAUAUCUUAUAUUAUUAUUAUUAUUAUUAUUAUUAUUAUUAUUAUUAUUAUUUUACAUUUUAACAUCUCUGAAACAGGGAUGUGUCCUACAAUCACCAUCAGCCAGGAAGUGGUCAGGAUGCAGUGGUUAUAACUGGAUUAUUUUCCCUGGCCUGGCUGACCAUCUGCAACCCCCUGGUGUUUCAAUGUACAAACUAUUUUAGGACCAUCUGCGUACUGGCUGUUGCCUGAAAAUCUUGUGUUGAUGUGGAUUUGUAAGACUGGGAAAGCACCAGCAUUCAAAACUUGAAGAAAGGUGUUAGCAGUUUGGCAGACAAUCCUACAGAAAACUCUUUAUUCUUGGGGGAGAAAAAGUUGCCUCCCA
rnacentral:lncRNA from 10 species